ensembl:lncRNA
AUGAUGGAUGGGAGCUGGGCCUUGGGCAGGGGCCAGGGAGCCUCACAUAUUCACAGGAUGUACUUGGACAAACAAUCUAAGACUGCAAAGGCCUCUGGCUGCGGCGGCUCCGCCCUCACCCAGCUCAUCUGACCUGAUGCUACUCAGAGCUGCUUGAGCACGCCAGAGUGGAGGGGGUGUAGCUGCGUGUGACAAGAUGAAGAGGCUGCCCCUCCACCCUGUCCCUGGAGCUGGCUUACGCUCCCGGGUCCACUGCUGGCCUUGCUCUGAAAUGGCUCAAAACUCACUGACCUCACUGGUGGACAAUGCUCGACCCUCUGCCUGUGAUGAGAAACACACUCCUUCAAAUCCGCAUCCUCAGUGGAACAGCCGUGAGCCAGAGCUGAGCCCCACCCACAUGGGACCUCUCCGGACCUCACGGCCCAGGGCUCAGGAGCUGCAGUGUUCAUAUCCCAGGAGAGGCAGGGGAGACCUUAGGAGGUAAGGGACUGGCCACUGUCAUACAGCCAGAGUUGCAAAGUAUGGCUAGAAC